GAUCAUGGCUCAGGACGAACGCUGGCGGCGUGCCUAAUACAUGCAAGUAGAACGCUGAAGGAGGAGCUUGCUUCUCCGGAUGAGUUGCGAACGGGUGAGUAACGCGUAGGUAACCUGCCUGGUAGUGGGGGAUAACUAUUGGAAACGAUAGCUAAUACCGCAUAAUAGCAGUUGUUGCAUGACAACUGUUUGAAAGGUGCAAUUGCACCACUACCAGAUGGACCUGCGUUGUA
rnacentral:rRNA from 1 species